CCAGAAUCCGGUCGUACUUCCGGAAGAGCAGCGCGAGAAUGGAAUAUAGUGAGACUUUUGUUAACAAUAUAAUUACCGAUGGUGAUUGCUUGUUACAUAUGCAAGAUAUAGUGGUAGUACUGUUACCAAAUCGGCAGUGACAGUCAAGACAAAUUUACAAAUCAUCAAUGAUGUUUGCCAUUCCUUGGCAAAUGACAAGUGCUUGACACAAGAUGGCAAAACUUUCUUAAUCAAGUUUACAAUUGCCGUAUGACUUCCGCCGCACGUGGAAUGUGGCGCAUGUGCAGUUCGACUUACACCGCUAAACCUUGUAAGUCGGAAUGAGCGUCGUUUACAGCGUCGUAACCACGAAACGACAUAACUCGAGACCGUCGUAACCCGAAGACUACCUGUAUAUGGGGCAAAGCAUGUGGAAAAUUGUCCCAUGAGAUAGAGCAAAUUUAACAGGUGGAUGGUACAGAAAUACUAGAGAGGAUAAAAUUCUUGAAAAAGCCCAAUUUCUGGAUGACUGCCUUGUGCCAGGCAAGAUGUUUGUUCGCACAUCAAGGGAAAAGGCAUGGAGUUUAUAUCAUGCUGCCUACAUAAAGAAUAUGAAAAUCUGCAUCUACUGCUGCAUGACUUUGCCGGAAAAGUUAGUUGCUCUAUUAUCCAGUGAACGCAGAGCUAACUCAGGCAUGCCAGCCAUCAGCAUUCAAUGAUAAAGUGAAAGACAUCAUAUCUCAUAUAGGAGGAAGCAGUGUAAAGAAAAUAAAAAGAUUGUGCAAAGGGAGAUAACUCACCGCCAGCAUCAACAUGCAUCCAAGUCCGCAAAGCGCCUCAGGAAAAGUUUACAUGAUGCCACCAAUGCUUAAGAUAAUUAAUUGCUCUGAUAUCGGAGAACCUUUGCAGUAAAACAGUAUUGGGAAGAACAAAAACGCUAUAGAUUUUUCUCAGCAAGUAGGUUCAAAGUUCAUUAGCUGUUGUAGACAGAAAGUAAGAUCUAUUUAUAAAAGUAACAAUAAAAUAACUAUAUAUAUAUAUGUAAUCGGUGUUGCUGCCCUACGCUCCUCAAGGAGUAACAAGGACUAAAGUAAACUAUGUGCUUCAUAAAUUAAAACACUUCAAAUUGAAUAUUUUGUAUAAACAUCUGGAAAGUCAAAAACAUAUGCAGGACUGUUUUUUGCUGAUUUUAGUUCUGUGUUCAAUACAGUACAACCACACUAAAACAUGUUCUAGCAGAAGAAUGUUUUACAGAGUUCAAUUGUUUUGCUAUACCUGUAUGUAGAAAUAAUAGGAACAUGAAAAAGCUUGUAUCCUUAGAUGUGGAGCUGAUUUACCAUAGUUGACUUUUCAUGUCUGUGUUUGGGUUUGUGAUGCUGUAGCUGUACCAUAAGAAUAAUUGUAAGAUCUUAUCUUUAAUAAGACAAGUGUUAAGUCGGUUGGAUUUUGAUUUUGUUACAAUGCAUCUCUUGCCUUAUCCUUAGCUUUUAGGCAGCACUUGUUUGGGUUUUUGGUCCCCAUAACUGAGCACACUUGCAAAUAAUUGCCCAUUGGAAUUGCCGAUGUUAGUCAUUUUUCAUUUGGCACUUUAAUAAUAAUGAAGUGUAUUUAUAGAGUGCAAUAUCCUAGCCUUAUAAGCCAGCUAAUGGCAUGUUGCAAAUACAGUCAUAAUAAAUAUAACAAUAUUAAUAAUUACGAUAUGGAGAAAUAUAGAAGCCAACCUAGAUCACAGGAAUUAGGAAGAGUUUGCUAAAUACCUUCAAAGGUGGAAAAUGUUGACUUUGGCAAUUUAUGAAAAUCCACCUCUAUCCAGAAUAUGGGUCAGUGAUCUGUACUCCUGAACAUGCAGUGCUGUGAUCUGACAGAUACCCUCCUUCCAGCACCUAAUUCUUUGUUAUAUGUAUAUUUGUAUAUGAUGUCGCUUUAAUAGUUUUAUAAAACACAACAACUUAGUCCAGAUUUAUGUUAGUGACUGCCCCAUGUUUUUUGUAUGUUGUAAGGCAUUUUUCGUACUGCCUACAUUGCUGUGAAAAGAAAAUGCCAUAUAUUUAGUAAAAUGGAAAUUAAAGGUAUGAUGGUAAGUUUGUCAUCUAUCCCUCCCUAAACCCAUGAGAAUUUAAAUUGCCGUCACAAAGUUAAUACAUACUGAGUUGACAUAAUAUAUAUAUGUUGUUGUAUUUUGAUUAAUUGUGUAUCAUUUCCUUUGGAUCAUUUAUUUUGUGCAAGAUUAAUAUUGAUCAUAAUGUUAUAGUGUUAAAACCACCCUUCCAACUUUAAAUUGAUGCUAUUUUGUGCCUUAAGAGAGACAUUAUACUUAAUGUGUCAAUGUCAUGGGUAUAAAAGUAAAACAUUCAAAAGUUGAGGUCUAUGUAGAAAAUGAUAAUCAUCAUACAUGUAAUACAUUUGUAUAAAAGCUAAGUGGACUUUUGGGCAAGCCUAAUUAUCCAAAAAAGCAUUGUAAUCUUAAGCAUGAUAUAAGUAAAGGAGCUUUACUUGAUAUAUAUAUAAAAAUUGAUGUUAAAGGUUGAUUCCAUGGCUUUUAAUGCCUUUGGCACUUAAAUUCAUGCAUGCUCAAUUCAAUAAAGAUAACUACCUAAGUAAUUGUAUUUUUUUAUUGUUCAGCUGUAUUUCAACCAAGGUCAGAAACCAGGCAAAACAAGAGACAGGAGUCUGUUAUAAAAGAACAUAGUGCCUCAUUAUUAUCCACUAAUUGAUACCAUUGGUGAAGUAACUUAUAAUUUUUAUGUAACAUGCAGUGCACAAUCAGAACU
rnacentral:lncRNA from 1 species